rnacentral:tRNA from 1 species
UCCCUGGUGGCUCAGAGGUUAAAGCAUCUGCCUGCAAUGUGGGAGACCUGGGUUCGAUUCCUGGGUCGGGAA